ACCCAACUGUGCUCUCUCUCAGGGAAACGGAAGUGUAUGAUGAUGUCGCCUUCUGGGACCCCCUGGAGAACCAACCAUUCCCCCGGGGACGGUAAGGCCCACAGGUGUGGGGCCCAGGACAGCCCACCAGCCCAGACACCGCGAAUCAGGAGCCCUGGAUUACAGCUUGGCAAAGUCAAAGAACUGCCCAAGCUCAUGAUGGGUCACAUAAAGUGCCUCUUUAUUUAAAGCAA